AUUGAACGCUGGCGGCAGGCUUAACACAUGCAAGUCGAGCGGAGAUGAGGUGCUUGCACCUUAUCUUAGCGGCGGACGGGUGAGUAAUGCUUAGGAAUCUGCCUAUUAGUGGGGGACAACAUUCCGAAAGGAAUGCUAAUACCGCAUACGUCCUACGGGAGAAAGCAGGGGAUCUUCGGACCUUGCGCUAAUAGAUGAGCCUAAGUCGGAUUAGCUAGUUGGUGGGGUAAAGGCCUACCAAGGCGACGAUCUGUAGCGGGUCUGAGAGGAUGAGCGGGCACACCGGGACUGGGACACGGCCCAGACUCCUACGGGAGGCAGCAGUGGGGAAUAUUGGAAAAUGGGGAGAACCCUGAUCCAGCCAUGCCGCGUGUGUGAAGAAGGCCUUAUGGUUGUAAAGCACUUUAAGCGAGGAGGAGGCUACUGAGACUAAUACUCUUGGAUAGUGGACGUUACUCGCAGAAUAAGCACCGGCUAACUCUGUGCCAGCCGCCGCCGUAAAAC
rnacentral:rRNA from 1 species